CUCUCUCUCUAGAUUUGAUCGUGUUUGAGGGAGAUCGCGACUCGAGCUCGGGAGAUUUUCGACGUAAAUUCAGAGGGCCGUUUGAGUGUGCGUGCGUCGCGGUUGUGUCGUUGGAGGCUGGACGAGCGCGUGAUUUCCUCUCAUUUUGACCUCUCGCCUCAGUUGGACGAGCUUUUCGAGGUAGGUUGAAGUUUACCGAAAUCGUCGGAAUAUCUUCUAAGUUUUGAAUAUCGUCGGCAUGUAUCAUUGGUUUAUUUUCUUG
rnacentral:lncRNA from 1 species